GACGAACGCUGGCGGCGUGCCUAAUACAUGCAAGUAGAACGCUGAAGGAGGAGCUUGCUUCUCUGGAUGAGUUGCGAACGGGUGAGUAACGCGUAGGUAACCUGCCUGGUAGCGGGGGAUAACUAUUGGAAACGAUAGCUAAUACCGCAUAAUAGUAGAUGUUGCAUGACAUUUGCUUAAAAGGUGCAAUUGCAUCACUA
rnacentral:rRNA from 1 species